rnacentral:rRNA from 1 species
GACGAACGCUGGCGGCGUGCUUAACACAUGCAAGUCGAACGCUGAAGCUCAGCUUGCUGGGUGGAUGAGUGGCGAACGGGUGAGUACCACGUGAGUAACCUGCCCUCUUCUUUGGGAUAACGCCCGGAAACGGGUGCUAAUACUGGAUAUUCACUGAUUCUCGCAUGGGGGUUGGUGGAAAGGUUUUUUCUGGUGGGGGAUGGGCUCGCGGCCUAUCAGCUUGUUGGUGGGGUGAUGGCCUACCAAGGCUUUGACGGGUAGCCGGCCUGAGAGGGUGACCGGUCACAUUGGGACUGAGAUACGGCCCAGACUCCUACGGGAGGCAGCAGUGGGGAAUAUUGCACAAUGGGCGAAAGCCUGAUGCAGCGACGCCGCGUGAGGGAUGGAGGCCUUCGGGUUGUAAACCUCUUUCGCUCAUGGUCAAGCCGCAGCUUUGGGUUGUGGUGAGGGUAGUGGGUAAAGAAGCGCCGGCUAACUACGUG